GAGUUUGAUCAUGGCUCAGGAUGAACGCUGGCGGCGUGCUUAACACAUGCAAGUCGAACGAAGCACAGAGACGGAAGCCCUCCGGGGCGGAAGACUCUGUGACUGAGUGGCGGACGGGUGAGUAACGCGUGGGCAACCUGCCCCAUACAGGGGGAUAACAGCCGGAAACGGCUGCUAAUACCGCAUAAGCGCACGAAACCGCAUGGUUUUGUGUGAAAAGCCGAGACGGUAUGGGAGGGGCCCGCGUCUGAUUAGCUGGUUGGCGGGGCAGCGGCCCACCAAGGCGACGAUCAGUAGCCGGCCUGAGAGGGCAACCGGCCACAUUGGGACUGAGACACGGCCCAAACUCCUACGGGAGGCAGCAGUGGGGAAUAUUGCACAAUGGGGGAAACCCUGAUGCAGCGACGCCGCGUGAGUGAAGAAGUAUUUCGGUAUGUAAAGCUCUAUCAGCAGGGAAGAAAAAUGACGGUACCUGACUAAGAAGCACCGGCUAAAUACGUGCCAGCAGCCGCGGUAAUACGUAUGGUGCAAGCGUUAUCCGGAUUUACUGGGUGUAAAGGGAGCGCAGACGGCGCGCUAAGUCUGAUGUGAAAACCCGGGGCUCAACCCCGGGACUGCAUUGGAAACUGGCGUGCUUGAGUGCCGGAGAGGUAAGCGGAAUUCCUAGUGUAGCGGUGAAAUGCGUAGAUAUUAGGAGGAACACCAGUGGCGAAGGCGGCUUACUGGACGGUGACUGACGCUGAGGCUCGAAAGCGUGGGGAGCAAACAGGA
rnacentral:rRNA from 1 species